GACGAACGCUGGCGGCGUGCUUAACACAUGCAAGUCGAGCGGUAAGGCCCUUUCGGGGUACGACGAGCGGCGAACGGGUGAGUAACACGUGGGUGACCUGCCCUCAGCUCUGGGAUAAGCCCGGGAAACUGGGUCUAAUACCGGAUAUGACUUCAUGACGCAUGUUGUGGAGUGGAAAGCCUUGUGCGGCUGAGGAUGGGCCCGCGGCCUAUCAGCUUGUUGGUGGGGUGANGGCCUACCAAGGCGACGACGGGUAGCCGGCCUGAGAGGGCGACCGGCCACACUGGGACUGAGAUACGGCCCAGACUCCUACGGGAGGCAGCAGUGGGGAAUCUUGCGCAAUGGGCGAAAGCCUGACGCAGCGACGCCGCGUGA
rnacentral:rRNA from 1 species